AACAUCGCCCUUCGUAUAAUUUUAUGAGGGGUUGGACCUGCCCGGUGAUUGGUCAAAUUUUGAAGUUAUUAAAUUAAUUAGAGAUUUUUUUAAACGGCUGCAAUUAGUAGUUGUGCUAAGGUAGCGUAAUCAUUUGCCCCUUAAUUAGGGGAAGGUAUGAAUGGUUUGACGUGGGAAAAGCUGUCUCUUUUAUAUAAAAGGAAGUUUAUUUUUGAGUGAAAAAGCUUAGAUGUUUAUAAAAGACGAGAAGACCCUAUCGAACUUGAAUUAUGUAUUAUAGAUUUAUAAUAUAGAAAGUUUAGUUGGGGAAACUUAAAGUUAAGAAAAACGCUUUUUUGUUGUAAAAUGAUCC
rnacentral:rRNA from 1 species